rnacentral:misc_RNA from 1 species
UGAAGCCUAUAUUAACAUCCAAGAAUUGGAAGAACAACAAACAUGUUGAUGAUGAUGAAGAGGAACAAGAGAUUGCAACAACUCCAACAUAUGAGGAAUCAAAGUUAUCAAGAAAGUAUGUAACAUGUCCACCACCUCCUAAGAAGAGAAAAACAUCAUCAAGGUGUAAUCAUCAUGACUAUAGUAGUAGUAACAAUAAUAAUAGGGAAUUCUUUCAUCCACCAUUAGACUUGGA